GAGAAAGAGAACUCCGGAAGAAAACAAAAAUCAUGGAAAGUGGAAAAAGACAAGUGAGGUAGGAAGACAAGAAAAGAGGCAAUAAAAGAUCAAGCUCAGAGGGCUCUAAAGACAGCCUUAGUCACGCUGGCCAGAGUACUGGCAUGGUGAAAACAGUGGCCUGAAUUCCACCCCUCUCAGGCAAAUCACAGAAAUCUUUGGGUCAAUUUCAUUGCCUGUAAAAGGUAGACAAAACCUUUGCCCCUUAUAAAUUUAAAUUCUCAUUUUAUUUCUGAUACCUUUUCACGUUGUCUUUAAGCAGCUUACAAAAUGAUUAACCACGGUUUCAAGUUCUUUAACAGCUUUUUAUACCCAUCUUUUCAAAAUGCCACCCCUGUAUUAUUCAAAUGGAAACUAACUUAAAAUCACAUUAAUCUCAUCAAGCCGGACUAGGUACUGCUUAUCCCAGCCUCCAUACACAAAGUCGUCAUUUUAUGGAUGUCACUCUUCCACUUUACACCCUAAGGGCACACAUAAAAACGACAAGCGAAAGCCUUCAAAUAAACCCAAAUAACAACACAUUUUACAGUUCCCUUUUAACAGAACUCCCAGGUUGGAAGAUCAACUAGGGUGAGAGGUCGUGUUCACCCUUAUUAGGAAACGGGCACAGUUUAAAGGUUUAAUUCGAAGUCUUAGGAAAUUACAAAAGAGGUUUCCUUUCCAAGAGAGGUUCAGGCCAGGGGAGGAGCAGGCGACCUUCCUACCCACCCCACCCAGCACUCGGCAUCAGAUUAGAACUAAGCGGCAGCAUUCUGCCGCUGACGUCAAAAGAGGCCGGCUACUGCGAGGGGCGGAGGGAAGGGCUGGCGACGACGCGACUGCGCAGGGGCGGAAGGCGGACGGACGGAGAAGGCAGGCGAGCUAGAUCCGGCAGCUGGCGGAGGGAGCCGCACGACCGCGGCCACGCGAGGGCAGGGCGCGCCGCGCGUGCGCGGGGCGUGGCUGUAGUUCUGCAGGUUUUCCGGCAUGACUUCCUGGUGGUGCAGUGGUUAAGAAUCCACCUGCCAAUGCAGAGGAAUGUCGGGUUUGAGCCCUGGUCCAGGAAGAUUCCACAUGCCGCGGAGCAACUAAGCCCGUGCGCCACAACUACUGAGCCUGCGCUCUGGAGCCCGCAAGCCACAACUACUGAGCCUGUGUGCCACAACUACUGAAGCCCACACACCACAACUACUGAAGCCCGUGCGCCUAGAGCCCGGCUCCACAGCAAGAUAAGCCACCGCAAUGAGAAGCCCACGCACCACAAUGAAGAGUAGCCCCUGCUCUCCGCAACUACAGAAAGCCCACACGCAGCAACGAAGACCCAAUGCAGCCAAAAAAUAAAUA